UUAGUUUUAGGAGAGAGAAUAUGAAAGAGCGCCCAAGGUUAAGUUUUUUUAAAAGGUUUGAGUUAUUAAUUUUUUUUUAAUGUUAGGGUUUUGGGUUUUUUAAAGUUUACAGUUUUUUAGAGUAUUCAGGGUUUUCAAUUGAAAUGACGAAAGUUCUUAGGUAGUUUUGAGGGGUCAGGGAUGUGAUAACGCACUUCAGCACACAUACAUUUCAUAUGUCAUGGGGGGAUAGGACCAUCACCUGAGAAACCCAUCCUAGGAAAUUAGGUUUUGGG
rnacentral:lncRNA from 1 species